rnacentral:rRNA from 1 species
CCUACGGGAGGCAGCAGUGAGGAAUAUUGGUCAAUGGACGAGAGUCUGAACCAGCCAAGUAGCGUGAAGGAUGACUGCCCUAUGGGUUGUAAACUUCUUUUAUAUGGGAAUAAAACGUUCCACGUGUGGGAUUUUGUAUGUACCAUAUGAAUAAGGAUCGGCUAACUCCGUGCCAGCAGCCGCGGUAAUACGGAGGAUCCGAGCGUUAUCCGGAUUUAUUGGGUUUAAAGGGAGCGUAGGUGGAUUGUUAAGUCAGUUGUGAAAGUUUGCGGCUCAACCGUAAAAUUGCAGUUGAAACUGGCAGUCUUGAGUACAGUAGAGGUGGGCGGAAUUCGUGGUGUAGCGGUGAAAUGCUUAGUUAUCACGAAGAACUCCGAUUGCGAAGGCAGUUCACUGGACUGCAACUGACACUGAGGCUCGAAAGUGUGGGUAUCAAACAGGAUUAGAUACCCCAGUAGUC